UUUAUGACACUAUACUAUUGAAAGUAAAAAUAAAAUCCUAUUUCUGGCCAUAGACCUUUGUAUACCAGCAAUCAUAAAAAUAUCAUAUGGUAUUUUUAUAAUUAUUGAAAGCAAGAUUUGAACCUGUGUGACAGAGGUUUGAACUCAAAGUAAAGUGACAGGCUGAAGUGCUGCUGAAUCUUCUCACCUCAGUGGGGGAGGGGCCCCAGGAGGUCUGGAAUUUGGAGAAGCCAGAAGGUUCUGACUGAGAGGCAGUUAUCUCUCUCAAUCUUUAGAAGCCUAGGAGGAAGGGAGGUCUGGUCAAAACUUUCUCCUGAGGAGAUAUUCACCUUUUUCCUCUCCUGGAGACAGGACAUCCUCCCCCUCCACCAAUUCCCAACUGAAGUGAUAGCUGAAGAAGACAUUGAGCCUCUGUUAAACUUACCUCACAGCUCCUGGUGCCUUGGAUCUGAACUGUGCCAGUUGGGUCAAGACCAGGGCAAGAAUUUGGGGUCUAUUGAUCAAAGCAGCAAGUCCUUUAUUAUCAUAAAUUCACGUUUAUUUACAACAUAUAACAGGAAAAAAGAAAAGCUAAAAGGACAAGAAGGAAAGGUGGAGAAAAAAAGGAGAAAAUACAAAGCAUGAUUUCCUAAAUCAAGAAUGAAAGGAAGCAUACCAAAUGUUGAUGAUGCGAAAAAAAAGCAAAAAUAGUCUCUCCGCCUAAGGAUCUUAUUUCUGAUGCAAGAAGAGGACACAUGAAAGGAGCUGAAAAGCAUGCAUGUGGAAAGAGGGAGUAGAAUAGAUGGCGGCAACUACAACAUCUGGGAAUUAAUAAUAUCCAGAAGGAAUGAAGAAUGAUGAGCACUGUCUUGUCUUCAAAAUGGAUUUUCGAGGAGGAUGUCAUCAGUGGGAGAAGGAAAUCAACAAAUUGUCCAGUGACAUUCCAAGGUAAGAAGAUCAGAAUUAUGGAACUAUUUUCCAGGGCAAGAAGACAGCUGAGAAAGAAUGAUGAAGUCUGGAAAGUCUAACCAUCUCAUAGAGUUCUUGUGAAGAGAAAUUGUGAAAAAUUUUAAAAUUUUUAUCCUUAAGGUAUUAUUGGGGAUAACUGUGAGUUAGUAUCACUUAUAUGACUAUCAGGUAUAACUGACUUUCUUUACUAAUUCCAAAGCUAGAAAUUUCUCGUUUUUGAAUUUCUCAUGAGCCUCCAACAUCCAGUUUCAAGAUCUAUCCAAAAGUUUUUAGAUCUUUUGCUAUUUCAGGAUUCUGAAUUUUAGACCCAGAUGAGACUUUAAAGAUUAAUAUGGCCCAUAUCUCUUAUUCUAUCAGUGAGGGAACCAAUGCACAAUGAGGUUCAUUUUGGUUGACUUUAAGAGUUAGGACUAAAAUAAACAUGUUCUGACUUUCA
rnacentral:lncRNA from 1 species